GAUGAACGCUGGCGGCGUGCCUAAUACAUGCAAGUCGAGCGAACGGACGAGAAGCUUGCUUCUCUGAUGUUAGCGGCGGACGGGUGAGUAACACGUGGAUAACCUACCUAUAAGACUGGGAUAACUUCGGGAAACCGGAGCUAAUACCGGAUAAUAUUUUGAACCGCAUGGUUCAAAAGUGAAAGACGGUCUUGCUGUCACUUAUAGAUGGAUCCGCGCUGCAUUAGCUAGUUGGUAAGGUAACGGCUACCAAGGCAACGAUGCAUAGCCGACCUGAGAGGGUGAUCGGCACACUGGAACUGAGACACGGUCCAGACUCCUACGGAAGGCAGCAGUAGGGAAUCUUCCGCAAUGGGCGAAAGCCUGACGGAGCAACGCCGCUGAGUGAUGAAGGUCUUCGGAUCGUAAAACUCUGUUAUUAGGGAAGAACAUAUGUGUAAGUAACUGUGCACAUCUUGACGGUACCUAAUCAGAAAGCCACGGCUAACUACGUGCCAGCAGCCGCGGUAAUACGUAGGUGGCAAGCGUUAUCCGGAAUUAUUGGGGUAAAGCGCGCGUAGGCGGUUUUUUAAGUCUGAUGUGAAAGCCCACGGCUCAACCGUGGAGGGUCAUUGGAGACUGGAAAACUUGAGUGCAGAAGAGGAAAGUGGAAUUCCAUGUGUAGCGGUGAAAUGCGCAGAGAUAUGGAGGAACACCAGUGGCGAAGGCGACUUUCUGGUCUGUAACUGACGCUGAUGUGCGAAAGCGUGGGGAUCAAACAGG
rnacentral:rRNA from 1 species